AGCGGCGGACGGGUGAGUAACGCGUAGGCAACCUGCCCCAUACAGAGGGAUACCUUCGGGAAACCGGGAUUAAAACCUCAUAAUGCCAAAGGGCCACAUGACCUUUUGGCCAAAGAUUCAUCGGUAUGGGAUGGGCCUGCGUCUGAUUAGCUAGUUGGUGAGGUAACGGCUCACCAAGGCGACGAUCAGUAGCAGAACUGAGAGGUUCAUCUGCCACAUUGGAACUGAGACACGGUCCAAACUCCUACGGGAGGCAGCAGUGAGGAAUAUUGCACAAUGGGCGAAAGCCUGAUGCAGCAACGCCGCGUGAGUGAUGAAGGCCUUUGGGUCGUAAAACUCUGUCCUUGGGGAAGUGACGGUACCCUUGGAGGAAGCCCCGGCUAACUACGUGCCAGCAGCCGCGGUAAUACGUAGGGGGCAAGCGUUAUCCGGAAUUAUUGGGCGUAAAGAGUGCGUAGGUGGUUUUGUAAGCGUAGGGUGAAAGGCAGUAGCUCAACUAUUGUUAGCCCUGCGAACUGUGAGACUUGAGUGCAGGAGAGGAAAGUGGAAUUCCUAGUGUAGCGGUGAAAUGCGUAGAUAUUAGGAGGAACACCAGUGGCGAAGGCGACUUUCUGGACUGUAACUGACACUGAGGCACGAAAGCGUGGGUAGCAAACAGGAUUAGAUACCCUGGUAGUCCACGCCGUAAACGAUGAGUACUAGGUGUCGGGGUUUAAAGACUUCGGUGCCGCAGUUAACGCAUUAAGUACUCCGCCUGGGGAGUACGCACGCAAGUGUGAAACUCAAAGGAAUUGACGGGGACCCGCACAAGCAGCGGAGCAUGUGGUUUAAUUCGAAGCAACGCGAAGAACCUUACCAGAACUUGACAUCCCUCUGACCGGUCCUUAAUCGGGCCUUCUCUUCGGAGCAGAGGAGACAGGUGGUGCAUGGUUGUCGUCAGCUCGUGUCGUGAGAUGUUGGGUUAAGUCCCGCAACGAGCGCAACCCUUGUCAUUAGUUGCCAUCAUUUAGUUGGGCACUCUAAUGAGACUGCCGGGGAUAACUCGGAGGAAGGUGGGGAUGACGUCAAAUCAUCAUGCCCCUUAUGUUCUGGGCUACACACGUGCUACAAUGGUCGGUACAAAGAGAAGCAAGACGGUGACGUGGAGCCAAUCUCAAAAGCCGAUCCCAGUUCGGAUUGUAGGCUGCAACUCGCCUACAUGAAGUCGGAGUUGCUAGUAAUCGCAGAUCAGAAUGCUGCGGUGAAUGCGUUCCCGGGUCUUGUACACACCGCCCGUCACACCAUGGAAGUUGGGGGCGCCCGAAGUUGGU
rnacentral:rRNA from 1 species